rnacentral:rRNA from 1 species
UACGUAGGGGGCAAGCGUUGUCCGGAUUUAUUGGGCGUAAAGAGCUCGUAGGCGGUUCAGCAAGUCGGGUGUGAAAAAUCUGGGCUCAACCCAGUGGAGCACCCGAUACUGCUGUGACUAGAGUCCGGUAGGGGAGUGUGGAAUUCCUGGUGUAGCGGUGAAAUGCGCAGAUAUCAGGAGGAACACCCGUGGCGAAGGCGGCUCUCUGGGACGGUACUGACGCUGAGACGCGAAAGCGUGGGGAGCGAACAGG